AACACUGGAAGGGCUUGGAGAGUGCGAGUCCAAGAAUCCUUGAAUCAAAGAGUCUAAGCCAGAAAGGGGUCUGGAGGUGAGAGCUUUGGUUUUUGUCUUAACAAGAUGGACGCCUCUGUUCAAACGCUGAUGGGAAGGCGCUGUGGAGAAGGAGGAGUUGAGAUGGGGUGGAUCUGUGAGCCCAAGGAGGCAGGAGAGGCGGAAUACUGGGAGAGGAACACAUUUCCCUUGGGCCUGGGGGAGGAGGCCAGGCCGGGUGGAGAAGCAGACAGGUUUGUAGGUGGACUGGUGAGGCUCCUUCCCACAACUUCUCUUUUCUUGUGAAGUUGGGGGUGGGAUAUUUUUCAGCAGGGGCAGAGCGUGAGUAGAAGUGAUAGGAUAGCAGAUUUGGGGAACAGAGAAAAUUUGAAUUCACUGUCACGAAGACUGGCAGGGAAAGCUCUUGGGAAUCUAGAGAGGUUGCUGGACGGCUCUAGUUCUCCUUGCAGCUGGUGAUCAUGAGCUUGCAGGGGCCCAACCAAGCUCAAGGUUGAAGGACAUUUUUCCUACAUGGCUUUAAUCUAAGAUCCUGAAUCACUUAGAAAUGAGAUAUAUGUUUAUGAUCACACUGACAAUCCUUAAAACAAGGCAGCAGUAUUCUGGAUUUGUAAAUUUAUUCAUGCUUUGACUUCUUUAAUCAAAAGUCCCAGAGAUAAGUGAUUCCAAAACAAGAGGACAGACUAGAGAAAUAAAAAGUAACCAGAAACGAAGGUCUAGUAGAAUUUGGGACUCUGACUCGCCACAGGGUCUGAUGAAUUUACACCGAGUAUCAGAUGUGAUGUUCUCCAAGUUGCUGACUGGUUGUUCAAACAUUCUGAAUUUAUUCUGGGAACUCAGAAAUUAAUAUUAACUCAUCACUCCUAUUCCUUUUGUUCUUGGUGAUAAGAACAGGAGUCUUACAGUUUGGGAAUUUCAGUCCCACCGCAGGUAAGAGUAGAUCAUUGGCUCACUUCCUUAUCAUUCGUUUGUCCUAAGAUUUUCUCAGGAACAUCAUCUCCAAGUUGGAGCAGAACAUCUGUGUUUUACAAGAUUUUCACCAAUGCUGCCUAUCCAGUCAUUCUGCAAGUGAUCGAACAUUUACUCUUUCAUUGUUACCUUUUACAAAAUCUUAUUCUUAAAGAAAAAUCUUGUUAUUCCUAACAAGAGCCACUUUUUCACAUUCUGGAGUCCAGUCUGAAACUUGCACGUUGAGCUACGACGGCGGGGUCAACAGGGCGCAGCUGCGAAUUAACCUUUCACUAUCUAUUCAAGAUGCGGAGGCUCCUUGGAAUCCGAUGGACUGGAAUCGAACUUGGGACCUUGAGCUUUCGAGGCAGGUGGCGGAACCACGACACGGUAUUUUAAAUUCAUAUUUUUCCAAGUCCCCAUUUCCUUAUAGCCGUUUGUUAAAUAAUUCAUCACUUCAUCUUUGAUUCAAGGUGCAUCUUUUAUUGUAUGUCAAGUACUUUGUAUGAGAUACAUUUCUGGGCUCUUCAUUCCACUUUAUUAAUGUGUCUGCCUAUGACUUGCUUCUACUUGCAAUUUUACUUUAAUAAAUGUUAAAACGAAGACAUACUGGUCAUUAACAAUUAUUAUUGUCUCCCUUAAAUUUCUUGCUUAUUCUUUCCAGUUUGGGUAGUUUCACCAAACAGUCCUGCAGAGUUUUGAAUGGAAUUAAUGAAGCCAUACAUUGAUUUGGGAAGACUGGUUUCUCAUUUGCAGGGAAGGGAGUGCUUGGGUCUCCUGGCUCCACCGACCAGUGGCAAGGC